CCUACGGGAGGCAGCAGUGGGGAAUAUUGGACAAUGGGGGGAACCCUGAUCCAGCCAUGCCGCGUGUGUGAAGAAGGCCCUCGGGGUGUAAAGCACUUUCAGUGAGGAAGAACGCCUGGUGGUUAAUACCCAUCAGGAAAGACAUCACUCACAGAAGAAGCACCGGCUAACUCCGUGCCAGCAGCCGCGGUAAUACGGAGGGUGCGAGCGUUAAUCGGAAUUACUGGGCGUAAAGCGCGCGUAGGUGGCUUGAUAAGCCGGUUGUGAAAGCCCCGGGCUCAACCUGGGAACGGCAUCCGGAACUGUCAAGCUAGAGUGCAGGAGAGGAAGGUAGAAUUCCCGGUGUAGCGGUGAAAUGCGUAGAGAUCGGGAGGAAUACCAGUGGCGAAGGCGGCCUUCUGGACUGACACUGACACUGAGGUGCGAAAGCGUGGGUAGCAAACAGGAUUAGAUACCCCGGUAGUC
rnacentral:rRNA from 1 species